rnacentral:tRNA from 1 species
GAGGGUAUAGCUCAAGUGGUAGAGCACAUGCUUAGCAUGCAUGAGGCCCUGGGUUCAAUCCCCAGUACCUCCU